rnacentral:rRNA from 1 species
UACGGAGGGUGCAAGCGUUAUCCGGAUUCACUGGGUUUAAAGCGUGUGUAGGCGGCUCUGCAAGUCGGAUGUGAAAGCCCCGGGCUCAACCUGGGAAGUGCACUCGAAACUGCUGAGCUUGAGUAUCGGAGAGGUUAGUGGAACGGUCGGUGGAGAGGUGAAAUUCGUAGAUAGCGAUCAGAACACCAGUGGCGAAGGCGGCUCACUGGCCCGGUACUGACGCUGAGGUGCGAAAGCGUGGGGAGCAAACAGG